UGCUACAGAGACCUCAAUUUUAGGCUCAUGUG
rnacentral:piRNA from 1 species